rnacentral:rRNA from 1 species
AGUGAACGCUGGCGGUAGGCCUAACACAUGCAAGUCGAACGGCAGCACAGUAAGAGCUUGCUCUUACGGGUGGCGAGUGGCGGACGGGUGAGGAAUACAUCGGAAUCUACUUUUUCGUGGGGGAUAACGUAGGGAAACUUACGCUAAUACCGCAUACGACCUACGGGUGAAAGCAGGGGAUCUUCGGACCUUGCGCGAUUGAAUGAGCCGAUGUCGGAUUAGCUAGUUGGCGGGGUAAAGGCCCACCAAGGCGACGAUCCGUAGCUGGUCUGAGAGGAUGAGCAGCCACACUGGAACUGAGACACGGUCCAGACUCCUACGGGAGGCAGCAGUGGGGAAUAUGGGACAAUGGGCGCAAGCCUGAUCCAGGCAUACCGCGUGGGUGAAGAAGGCCUUCGGGGUGUAAAGCCCUUUUGUUGGGAAAGAAAAGCAGCAGGUUAAUACCCCGCUGUUCUGACGGUACCCAAAGAAUAAGCACCGGCUAACUUCG